GCGCUAGCUCUACCCUCUCCUCUUCAGUCCCUCUGUCCCUGCCCAGGUGCAGAGAGGAGGAGAGAACAUGCUGGAAACAGAGCCCCCAACCCACAUGGAGGAGCCACCGUGCUCCAGCCCAGCUGGGGACAAAGGCAUCAUUGUGAGGCCAACAGACACCCCUUUGUCCAACUAGCAGGAGGCGAGGACCCCGUCAUAGUCUGACCACCCCCCUUCCCGAGGCCCCUGAACUAUUGCUCUACUACCUGAGGGAAAGGGGCCCCGGCAUCUGAGGGCAAGGGGAGGAAAUGAAGGAAGAAGAUGGGCAGGAUUGGAGGAGAGGGGGUUCAGAAGGGAAGAAGUAAACAGUUCCCAGUUUCCAGUUUCACCUGCACUUUGAGGUCACACAGCCAUCUUCCUCCCCACCAACAUGUAUCAGAAUGAAGGGACAGAAGAAAAGAGACAGAGAUCCAGACUGAGGUUGGUGGAGAGCCAGAAGCUCAGUUACCCGGACAAGAAAUGAAAAGCAGACUUCAUUGUUUCUUACUCUCUGGUGGGAGGAGAGGUGGAAAGAAGAAAUAAGGAAAGACCAAGGGUUGGAGAAGAAAAGAAAGCUGGAACAAUUUAAUUCAGAUAAAAUCUGAAAUGUCCAAGUAACUUA